rnacentral:rRNA from 1 species
GACAGAGGCCCCAAGCGUUAGGCGGAAUCACUGGGCUUAAAGCGUGUGUAGGCGGACGCCUAAGUGUCUUGUGAAAUCCCACGGCUCACCCGUGGAACUGCUGGGGGGGGCAUACUGGGCGUCUUGGGCAACUAGGGGGGGCAGCGGAACAAGCGGUGGAGCGGUGAAAAAAAUGCGUAGAUAUCGCUUGGAACGCCGAAGGUGAAAAAACAGGCUGCUGGGGGGUGCGCCGACGCUGAGACACGAAAAGCCAGGGGGGGAGCAAACGGG